UCUCUGAGUCUGUGUCAUCACGUGCAUGUGUUUCCUGUUUUACUUUGAAGGUCUCUGUCUUAUGUCAGCGCGUUCUGUUUACGUUUCCCCUGCCCCGUCAGCUGUUAUGUUUCCCAGGUGUGUUUCCCUCCUGUUUCCCAUCCCCUGAUUACUGGUGUGUAUUUAUAGUGUGUGUUCACCCGUCCUCGUUGCUGGUUCGUCUGUGUUGUUCACCUCGCUCUUCCUGCGUCUCUCCGUCCGUCUCUCUGUGUAUUUCCCUGUACCUCCCUGCAUCUUCGUUCAGAGCUGCCACAUUUUGGGUCCUUUCUACAAACUCCACACAUCUGCCACACCGGACGUGACAAUUUUGACCUGCCAGCAUCUUUGAAAUGAUGUCCACUGUGGCAGCAGCGGCAGAGGAGAAUGGAAAUAUUACUGCAAACCAGUAGAACAGAUAAACGGGUUCUGCAAGCUCGGAGAGAAGGUCACAUAACCGACCCCGAUUCUACCAGCUGGGACCUAUAGGAAGACGCUGAGAGGCUCGGUUAUUUGACCAAGACUGACAACUACUGGGUUAAAUACCAAUACAUUGAGCGGGAGAUCUGGCCUGGUGCAUGGUCUAAACCUAAACGGUAUAUAGGACCCCAAACAUGGUUUGUGAGGUGGGAUCAUACCAAACCACCUGCAUUAUUGGGCUGUCAAGAGGACACUGUAAAGAUAUGCAAGGUUGGAUUGAGCAUUGCCUGUCACAUUAUGAGAAUGAGUAUAAUAAAAGGUUUGGAGAAACAUGGCUAAGACACAUACCAACAGGGGCUGGAUACAGUGUCAGGAAGCGCCUGUGUGCAGGCAGGAAUAGGACCCAAAAGCAGACUCCCGAAAACAGGACAAACAGGACGUGACAAAGGACUGAGGGAGACCUAGGCCGUUUAUCA